AUGCAGUUUUCCAAGAGCCAUUUGAUCUCCAAGAUGUUAUGUGAGUGUCUUUUGUAUUUUAUUUUUUCCCUUAGAAAAGAAAAGCUGAUGGUUUGCCAAAAGAAAAUGAACUCCAAACUCUCGGGGUCUGAACUGGGUUCAAGCAUCAGAUCCAGGGAAGCUCAGGGGUUGCUGUUGAGUCAGGGGCCUCAAAUGUUCUCUGCACAAGCCAGAAGACCAACGGUCCAGGAGAAGGUCAAGAAAGAGAGAGGACCUGGGGUAAACAACAGGAUUGCUCCAGGAAACGGGAGGACAUCAGCCCCCAGAGAGGAAACAUCACAGGCAGUUGCUGUCAGACAAGAGGGGUAAGCAGAAAGCCCUUUUGGCACAGGGGAGGCACAGCCCCUCCUUCAGAAGGCCCAGAUGGGAGUGGC
rnacentral:lncRNA from 1 species